ACCAGAAGCUCCGGCGACACUGAGAUUAUAAGGGAGCCAGGGCUUUGCGGAUGAUUUGCUCCAGAUGGAAUUAAUGCUGCAGUUGUUAGAAGAGCAUCUCUGGCUCCGCUUCUGAAGCUAAUCACCACCUCUGUUUUUAUGGAGAAAACAAAGGAUUCAGAUUGAAGGACUGCUCAGACACCCUCCGAAGAGGUGGCCCUGCCUGCGCUCCUCCUGGCUGCAGAGUACCCCACCAGCGCAUUUUGAUUUGCAAUCUAGGAAGAGGAUUCUGGAAGAAUGGGAAGAAGGACAACUCUGCAUCUAUUAAUUUUAGUUUUAUGUUAUUCGCGUUUUUCCUCUCAUCCUUAUCUCCUCCAGCCCUUCCUUCCUGUAAAAGGAUCCUUUCUAAACAUACAAAUAAAGACAUGCUUAGAAUUUCAGCACAU
rnacentral:lncRNA from 1 species